CUACCCUACGGGGCGCAGCAGUGAGGAAUAUUGGUCAAUGGCCGAGAGGCUGAACCAGCCAAGUCGCGUGAGGGAAGACGGCCCUACGGGUUGUAAACCUCUUUUGUCGGGGAGCAAAGCGAGUCACGUGUGACUCAUUGAGAGUACCCGAAGAAAAAGCAUCGGCUAACUCCGUGCCAGCAGCCGCGGUAAUACGGAGGAUGCGAGCGUUAUCCGGAUUUAUUGGGUUUAAAGGGUGCGCAGGCGGAGGUGCAAGUCAGAAGUGAAAGCCUGGGGCUCAACCCCGGAAUUGCUUUUGAAACUGU
rnacentral:rRNA from 1 species